AUUGAACGCUGGCGGCAUGCCUUACACAUGCAAGUCGAACGGCAGCACGGGAGCAAUCCUGGUGGCGAGUGGCGAACGGGUGAGUAAAGUAUCGGAACGUGCCCAGUCGUGGGGGAUAACGUCGCGAAAGUUACGCUAAUACCGCAUAAGAUCUAGGGAAGAAAGCGGGGGAUCGCAAGACCUCGCGCGAUUGGAGCGGCCGAUAACAGAUUAGGUAGUUGGUGGGGUAAAGGCUCACCAAGCCGACGAUCUGUAGCUGGUCUGAGAGGACGACCAGCCACACUGGGACUGAGACAUGGCCCAGACUCCUACGGGAGGCAGCAGUGGGGAAUUUUGGACAAUGGGCGCAAGCCUGAUCCAGCCAUGCCGCGUGCAGGAUGAAGGCCUUCGGGUUGUAAACUGCUUUUGUACGGAACGAAAAGCUUUGACUUAAUACGUUGGACUCAUGACGGUACCGUAAGAAUAAGCACCGGCUAACUACGUGCCAGCCGCCGCUGUAA
rnacentral:rRNA from 1 species